AGAGUUUGAUCCUGGCUCAGGAUGAACGCUGGCGGCGUGCCUAACACAUGCAAGUCGUACGAAUCGCUUCCGAUUCUCACGAUGAGGGAGUGGUUAGUGGCGGAUGGGUGAGUAACACGUAGGUGACCUACCCCGACGUGGGGAAUAACCACUGGAAACGGUGGCUAAUACCGCAUGUGAUCGGUAAUUCAUUUUGCCGAUUAAAGCUUCGGCGCAUCGGGAGGGGCCUGCGGCCCAUCAGGUAGUUGGUAGGGUAAUGGCCUACCAAGCCGAUGACGGGUAGCUGGUCUGAGAGGAUGGUCAGCCACACUGGAACUGAAACACGGUCCAGACUCCUACGGGAGGCAGCAGUGAGGAAUAUUGCGCAAUGGACGAAAGUCUGACGCAGCAACGCCGCGUGGGCGAUGAAGGCCUUCGGGUUGUAAAGCCCUUUUCUGAGGGAAGAGAGAGGACGGUACCUCAGGAAUAAGUCUCGGCUAACUACGUGCCAGCAGCCGCGGUAAAACGUAGGAGGCGAGCGUUAUCCGGAUUUAUUGGGCGUAAAGCGCAUGCAGGUGGCCCUGCAAGUCGGGUGUGAAAGCCUCUGGCUUAACUGGAGGAGGUCGCUCGAUACUGCUGGGCUUGAGGUCGGAAGAGGGAAGCGGAAUUCCCGGUGUAGUGGUGGAAUGCGUAGAUAUCGGGAGGAACACCAGUGGCGAAAGCGGCUUCCUGGUCCGCACCUGACACUAAGAUGCGAAAGCGUGGGGAGCGAACGGGAUUAGAUACCCCGG
rnacentral:rRNA from 1 species